UGGUCCCGUAGUUUAACUGGAUAGAACGAGGGAUUCCGGUUCCCUUGGUGGGGGUUCGAGUCCUCCCGGGAUCACCCA
rnacentral:tRNA from 1 species